CUGAGCUCUCGUAACUCCUUUGCACACUAGAGUUUCUGAGCUUCCUGUGCACAGAGCUUCUCCCUCUCUGCCAAGGAGAGAUGUGAGAAGCAGACCGCCGGCACCACACCAACACGUGCUUCUGUGCUGGGAAGAGGUUGUGUCCUUUCAACUACUGACGGUGUUUGAAAAAGGAAUACAAGGGUCAUCACAUGUGUUCUCAUUUUCCAGACAGUAGAAGAACGUGGCUGUAGCCUGACAGGAGACCUUAAUGUCUUAACUAUUACCUAGUUAUUGCUGAACAACACAAACUGAUUUUCAACAAGGCAACCUGGAAAUGAUAACUACCUCAUGGGAUCAUUAUGGCGAUUCAGUGAGACAACGCAUGUGACACGUCACACACAGUGCUAGCCUGUGGUAAGCACCCGUACACGGUGGUUGUUCCUGCCUUGCAGAGCUUUGUGGUAGUCGGGCGUCAUUGCCUUAAAUACGGGGGCCCAUGGACUCCUGACAAUAUGUCACUUUUUAAUCAAAAGUUGUUUUCAGGUAAAAGAGGUUCCAGAUGUAACUAAAUGAAGGUAGACUGGUGUGAAGUCACUUUUAUAGUAUUGAGAUUAGCACACUUUAACUUAUGCCGGCAAAUUGUACUAUCCAUUGUUUUUUUUAAAAAAAAAAUUUUUUUU